CUUAAACAAAACAAAAGUCCUGAUCAGCUUGCAAACUACAGACUCACUACACUGUUAAAUACAGAUAUCAAAUUAUAUCCAGCAGUACUUGCAGCAAGAUUAAGUAAAAUUAUACCCACAAUUAUACAUCAAGAUCAAGUCGGGUUCAUAACAAGUAGAACCCCGGUGUACUAUAUUAGGAGACUUCUGGACAUUAUGGAAUUGGUCCAUAAAAAAUGUCUGCCCAUCCUGGC